AUGACAUUAAUUGUGAAUGCGAUGAGUAAACCAGAGGAAAAGAGGGUUGCAUCUGGAAACUUUGGAGUGGUUCAAAAGUUGGGACAUGACAGUUUCACCUGUGGAAUGCAAAGGGUGAUUGUUUACAAAUCGAUGGAGGUUUUGGUUAACAGGAGAGUUAAAGUUAGUAGUGUGUUAUAG